rnacentral:rRNA from 1 species
AUGAACGCUGGCGGCGUGCCUAAUACAUGCAAGUCGAGCGAACGGACGAGAAGCUUGCUUCUCUGAUGUUAGCGGCGGACGGGUGAGUAACACGUGGAUAACCUACCUAUAAGACUGGGAUAACUUCGGGAAACCGGAGCUAAUACCGGAUGAUAUUUUGAACCGCAUGGUUCAAAAGUGAAAGACGGUCUUGCUGUCACUUAUAGAUGGAUCCGCGCUGCAUUAGCUAGUUGGUAAGGUAACGGCUUACCAAGGCAACGAUGCAUAGCCGACCUGAGAGGGUGAUCGGCCACACUGGAACUGAGACACGGUCCAGACUCCUACGGGAGGCAGCAGUAGGGAAUCUUCCGCAAUGGGCGAAAGCCUGACGGAGCAACGCCGCGUGAGUGAUGAAGGUCUUCGGAUCGUAAAACUCUGUUAUUAGGGAAGAACACAUGUGUAAGUAACUGUGCACAUCUUGACGGUACCUAAUCAGAAAGCCACGGCUAACUACGUG